rnacentral:misc_RNA from 1 species
UGAGCAGCAUGUAGAUCGAAGUCAAUGGUUUCAUGAUAUGGCGACUUGUUAGUGAAACAGAAACGAUAAAUUCCUUCAUGAUGAGAUGUAAACUCAGACUUCUCGCUUAUUUUGUCACGAAGAUCAUGAAUCUGUUCUCCAGAAGGCCCCUUCACCACAAGAUCAACACCGUCAUUAUUGUGAUGCCAAUCGCCUUCAGACUUGAUAACAACAAAUGAAUAAUGAACAGAUUCCCCCAUUUCAACCUUAUGAGAAAAACAUUCUUCUUUUUCAAUUACAAAUCUAAUCCCAAAUGCACCUUUCAUGCUCAAACCAAUCACCAAAAUUGAUAUUGUAAUACCGAUCCAAACUUGA